UGAGAUGUGAGAUGCCAUGUGAGGCAAGAAAAGAGCGUAAGGCUAGGAAUUCACCCCCAUUAUCAGUAUACAGAGUAAUGAUAUUAGUAGAGAAGUAUUUUUCGACAAUGGACUUAAAAGUGGGGAAGGUUUGUAAGACAUCAGAUUUAAGGCGUAAAGGGAAAAACCAAACGUACUUAGAAAAAUGAUCAACAAAAAUGACAUAAUAUUUAAAUCCUUCAUUAGAAAUAAUUGGAGAGGUCCAUANNNNNNNNNNNNNNNNNNNUAAUAUUUAAAUCCUUCAUUAGAAAUAAUUGGGGAGGUCCAUACAUCAGAAAAAAUAAGCUCCAGCGGAGUAGUAGAAGAUAAACUUGACUCAGAGAAAGGUAACUUAUGACACUUAUGAAGCUUGCAAGAGACACAAACAAAAUCAGACACACUACUGGACGUUAUACUGCUAGAAGACACCAAAUGAUGUAGGAUUUUUGCUGACGGAUGACCAAACUGAGAAUGCCAUAAUGACGCAGGGAGCUUUUGUGCCGUGAGGGCGGAUGGGAGACAAGAAGCCACCGGCCAGUAGUAGGCGUCG
rnacentral:lncRNA from 1 species